rnacentral:rRNA from 1 species
UUGAAAGGGAAACGAUUGAAGUCAGNCGGACCAGCGGGAAAUCAACCUUUCGAGUGGGGGUUUUGGAGUUUUGAAGAGUGUCAAAACCUUUGAGAUUUCAAAAUUUUCGCUCCUUUGGUGUACUUUCUCGUGGGUAGGUUAACAUCGAUUUCGAUCAUCAUAAAAGGAUUGGAGGAAUGUAGCUUCGAUCUUGUAUUGAAGUGUUAUAGCCUUUGGUAAAUGUGAUGAUUGGGAUCGAGGAUUGCAACGAAUACCCUUUUGGGCUAUCCGCCUGAUCUCUGGUACGUGGCCUUGGCAUCGAAAGCUUGCUUAUGGUAUCAAGGUAUUACGGUCAAAAGGUUAGAACGGAUUACAUUCGUUAAGGAUGUUGACGUA